rnacentral:rRNA from 2 species
UUUAUAUGAGAGUUUGAUCCUGGCUCAGGAUGAACGCUGGCGGCGUGCCUAAUACAUGCAAGUCGAACGAGUUCUCGUUGAUGAUCGGUGCUUGCACCGAGAUUCAACAUGGAACGAGUGGCGGACGGGUGAGUAACACGUGGGUAACCUGCCCUUAAGUGGGGGAUAACAUUUGGAAACAGAUGCUAAUACCGCAUAGAUCCAAGAACCGCAUGGUUCUUGGCUGAAAGAUGGCGUAAGCUAUCGCUUUUGGAUGGACCCGCGGCGUAUUAGCUAGUUGGUGAGGUAACGGCUCACCAAGGCGMUGAKACKGCCAAGG